rnacentral:rRNA from 1 species
AUUGAACGCUGGCGGCAGGCUUAACACAUGCAAGUCGAACGAGCGGCGGACGGGUGAGUAAUGUCUGGGCAACUGCCUGAUGGAGGGGGCUAACUACUGGAAACGGUAGCUAAUACCGCAUACCCUCUUCUGUGCCUAGAUGGGAUUAGCUAGUAGGUGGGGUAAUGGCUCACCUAGGCGACGAUCCCUAGCUGGUCUGAGAGGAUGACCAGCCACACUGGAACUGAGACACGGUCCAGACUCCUACGGGAGGCAGCAGUGGGGAAUAUUGCACAAUGGGCGCAAGCCUGAUGCAGCCAUGCCGCGUGUGUGAAGAAGGCCUUCGGGUUGUAAAGCACUUUCAGCGAGGAGGCGUUACUCGAAGAGGAAGCACCGGCUAACUACGCGCCAGCAGCCGCGGUAAUAC